CCAAUCUAACAUCUGUUG
rnacentral:snRNA from 1 species